CGGGCCGCGGGCGCGGGGCGGGGAGGCGGCGGUUCCCAGCUCCGCAGCGGGCUCUGGAAGCUGCCGGGAACUUCGCGAGCCGACGGGAGUUUGGAAAUUCAGUUGGGACAGGAAGCAGAAAAGAAGUUGGAAUUGGUGGUCUCAAUGAAAAGUUGGAGUAGACACAUCUCAGACAUAGAAAUGGAUGGCUGAAAAGUUUUGCUGUUGAAUGUGAAUGGAGUUCUGCCACGUACAAAGCAAAGGCUUCAGAAUAACAGCUUGGGUUCCGUGUUGGUCUGAGAAUACAUCCAGCCAUCGAGUACAGAUUGGGUACUCGGACAGCUGAAUAGAACCUGUGAAAAUCAAGAACAUUUAGGCAUGUGGAGAAAAGAAGGAAAAUUAAUCACUCAGCCAUCAAAAAAACAACAGUGCUUGAAUCAGAUGUACAGGAACAGCAUAAAACUAACUGAAAGGAUAUUGCCUUUGGAAGAACAAUCUCUUCAGAAGCUCUCUGAAAUUACAUCUACCUUGCCUACUCUGGCCAGUUUCAUCAUGAACGCAGAAUUCUUAAAGGCUGUCCUAGGUUCAAGGAGGAGUAACUGAAAGCUAGGCCUGUUAGGGCCACUUCUAAUUCAAGGAGAUCCUAAUAUGUGUAGAGUUGGGACUCCUAGGAACACUUUCAGUUAUUUAAAUUACAUAAUACCUUUUUUUUAAGGUGGUAGGCUUGCAUCAAAUUUGGCUGUAAAAUGCUGUCUGUAGUGUUUGAUACCACAGACAUUCCAGGAUGGUUUACUCACAUGCAACCUUCUGUGCUUGUUCCAAGGGCAAUGUAUGAUAAAGCUCAAUGACUGAUUUCUCUUUUGGUUUCACAGGGAUCAGUCCAGACAACUCAAUAAAGAUAACUGGAUCUGAAACACAAAUUGCAGCAUGUGUGAGAGUUACAGGAUGACUCUCACUAGCUAUUUCUUAACCUUCCUACUACGCCUCUCUGAAAAGGUGGGAUUGGGUAGUCUUUAAAUAGGCACAUUCUCUGCAUCUCUUGAGUUGCUGCUGAGACAUUGCUGGCCUGCCUCGCUGCCCUCCCGGGAUCCCAGUGCCAGGUGAGAGUGGACUGCCAAGAGAACUGGUAGCAGAAGUGGCUGGUUUUAACUGGCUUUGAAAAACCUGAACAACUUUUAUUUUCAUUGAAAGCAUCAUUAAACUGAGGAACCUGGAAA